rnacentral:rRNA from 1 species
GACAGAGGAUGCAAGCGUUAUCCGGAAUGAUUGGGCGUAAAGCGUCCGCAGGUGGCUAUGUAAGUCUGCUGUUAAAGAGUGAGGCUCAACCUCAUAAGAGCAGUGGAAACUACAUGGCUAGAGUGCGUUCGGGGCAGAGGGAAUUCCUGGUGUAGCGGUGAAAUGCGUAGAGAUCAGGAAGAACACCGGUGGCGAAAGCGCUCUGCUAGGCCGCAACUGACACUCAUGGACGAAAGCUAGGGGAGCGAAUGGG